GGGGACCUGAGACAACCCGCCAUCGUCAUCGCCGCAUGCCUCGAUGCGAUCAACGACGCUCGCCACGUGGGGGCGCUACUCGACAUGGUGGACCGUCACCCGGACGCGUCUCCGCUCGCCGCGCUCUGCCAGAUCUGCCACAACGUGAUGGGUGGCGCGCGCAUGCAGGCCGUACACAGACACAGGUUGCUGUCUACGCUAGCGUUCCAGCCUACCUUCCUCCGACAGCUGUGGCUUAGCGUGAAAAACAUGGCGACGCCCACGAUCACAGGGUCUAGCGUGCGUCUGCUGCAGCUGCUGUCGCGAGGAC